rnacentral:rRNA from 1 species
GGGGAGUAUUGCACAAUGGGCGAAAGCCUGAUGCAGCAACGCCGCGUGAGUGAUGACGGUCUUCGGAUUGUAAAGCACUGUCUUUUGGGACGAUAAUGACGGUACCAAAGGAGGAAGCCACGGCUAACUACGUGCCAGCAGCCGCGGUAAUACGUAGGUGGCAAGCGUUGUCCGGAUUUACUGGGCGUAGAGGAUGUGUAGGCGGAUACUUAAGUGAGAUGUGAAAGCCCUGGGCUCAACCUGGGGACUGCAUUUCAAACUGGGUAUCUAAAGUGCAGGAGAGGAAAGCGGAAUUCCUAGUGUAGCGGUGAAAUGCGUAGAGAUUAGGAAGAACAGCAGUGGCGAAGGCGGCUUUCUGGACUGUAACUGACGCUGAGGCAUGAAAGCGUGGGGAGCAAAC